GGUCGCGUGGCCUAAUGGUUAAGGCGUUGGUUUUCGGCACCAAAGAUUGGGAGUUCGAAUCUCCUCGCGAUCG
rnacentral:tRNA from 1 species